UUUUUAUGCCCCACCUACGAUAGUAGAGGGGCAUUAUGUUUUCUGGUCAGUGCGUCCGUUCGUUCGUUCGUCCGUCCGUCUGUUCGUUCGUUCGUUCGUUCGUCCGUUCGUUCGUCCGUCUGUCCCGCUUCAGGUUAAAGUUUUUGGUCAAGGUAGUUUUGAUGAAGUUGAAGUCCAAUCAACUGAAACUUAGUACCACAUGUUCCUUAUGAUAUGAUCUUUCUAAUUUUAAAGCCAAAUUAAA
rnacentral:lncRNA from 1 species